rnacentral:rRNA from 1 species
GGACUACAGGGGUUUCUAAUCCUGUUUGAUCCCCUUGCUUUCGCGCCUCAGCGUCAGGAAUAAGAUAGAAAACCGCCUUCGCCACCGGUGUUCUUCCACAUAUCUACGCAUUUCACCGCUACUUGUGGAAUUCCAUUUUCUCCUCCUACCCUCUAGAAAGACAGUCUCAGAUGCAGCACCGAGGUUGAGCCUCGGUAUUUCACACCUGACUUGAAUUUCCGCCUACGCGCCCUUUACGCCCAAUAAUUCCGAUUAAUGCUUGCACCCUCCGUAUUACCGCGGCUGCUGGCAC